GCGAAUCGUUGCCUUCAGUGCUGGCCGGCUUCGGCAAGUGCACGUCGGUGACUUUCAUCCAAUACCCUGUGAACCUUUGGCCUCUUGCUAGCUUCGGCCGGCAGAGGAUUUUACACAAACUCGAAUGUAAUGAAAUUUAUUGUCGUGCGCAAGCACUAAUGUACAACUUUCAACAACGGAUCUCUUGGCUCUCGCAUCGAUGAAGAACGCAGCGAAAUGCGAUAAGUAAUGUGAAUUGCAGAAUUCAGUGAAUCAUCGAAUCUUUGAACGCACCUUGCACCUUUUGGCAUUCCGAAAGGUAUGCUCGUUUGAGUGUCAUUGUACUCUCACACUCCCAAUGCUUUUGGAUUGGGAGUGGUGGACUUGGGUGUUGCUGCUUUACUGUGGCUCGCCUCAAAUGGAGUAGUGCAACUCUCGGUUGGACAUAGUACGGCGUGAUAAGUGUCUUCGCCGGCGCCUCACUAGAGGGUGGCCGAUCAGGAGCUCUGUGCUUCAAACCGUCUUCGGACAAUAUCUGACAACUUGACCUCAAAUCGAG
rnacentral:sRNA from 1 species